GACAGAGGUGCCGAGCGUUAGGCGGAAUCACUGGGCUUAAAGCGUGCGCAGGCGGUUAUGCAAGACAGAGGUGAAAUCCCCGGGCUCAACCUGGGAACUGCCUUUGUGACUGCAUAGCUAGAGUACGGUAGAGGGGGAUGGAAUUCCGCGUGUAGCAGUGAAAUGCGUAGAUAUGCGGAGGAACACCGAUGGCGAAGGCAAUCCCCUGGACCUGUACUGACGCUCAUGCACGAAAGCGUGGGGAGCAAACAGG
rnacentral:rRNA from 1 species